rnacentral:rRNA from 1 species
GCCCCUUACAUCCUGGGGUACACACGUACUACAAUGCUACGGACAAAGGGCAGCAAGUUCGCGAGGACAAGCAAAUCCCAUAAACCGUGCUCAGUUCAGAUCGUAGGCUGCAACUCGCCUACGUGAAGGAGGAAUCGCUAGUAAUCGCAGGUCAGCAUACUGCGGUGAAUACGUUCCCGGGCCUUGUACACACCGCCCGUCACACCAUGGAAGUUGGCCACGCCCGAAGCCGUUACUCCAACCCUCGGGAGGAGGACGUCGAAGGUGGGGCUGAUGACUGGGGUGAAGUCGUAACAAGGUAACC